GUCACGGUUACGCUCUGCCGCCAGGUGCAGUGGGCUGAUCCCAGUCCGCCGGACUCGGGGUCUACUGGUGACUGGGAUCAACAUCGAGACGAUGCUGGAAAAAAAAGAAGAGCUGGGACCAGUCUGAUUGGAUGAAUCUACAUUAUAGACUAGAAAUGGACCAAAAAAAUGAAAAACUCUCAACUGGCAAUACAAAGGGAUCAGGAAGCAGCAGCUUCAUGAAUGUGUGAUCCAUUUGAAGAUCACCUAUUCUGAUGCAGCUGGGAGGGACUGCUGCUCAAACACUCAGCAAACUGUUCCACAUGCAAACACAUCAACCUAUAGUGAGACUAUGUUUUAAACAUGUUCUGUCUUGGCACUAUAGGUGUACCACAUGUGCCAGUGCAUAUGUAGGCAACCAGGGAUCCAUCAGUCUUGUGUUUGUAUGACAUUCAACCUUUUGGAUGAUUUGCAUGGAUGUGUGUG